GUAUUAAAUUUUCAUUAAUAACAUUCUUGUACAAAAUGGUGUGUGGUGUAUAAACAUAGGCAAAAAAAAAGCCUACAAAAGGUGCACAUGGGUGUAUAGAUAGAGGUGUGCACAUAUCUUGAAAAGAUCAGCUACAACCCCCUUCAAAAUUCAAUAAUGAUCCUUCCGCAGGUUCACCUACGGAAA
rnacentral:misc_RNA from 1 species